rfam:Thermincola sp. JR, complete genome.
UGAAAGCGAUGAAGUGAAAGGUUGCUAAGAUUUGCUUAGGGAAUUUUCACGGAGAAGUCCGGAGAAAUAUCGGGCGA